GCAUGUGGCCCGUUGAGGCACGUCGGAAGGGGACAACAGGAUGAGCUUCCGGACGCGGUCCAGUUCCGCCGGGAGCGGCUCCGGCUCCACCACGUCCUCCAGCGUCCGCCACGCCGCCGUCUAGCCUGCCGCCGCUCCUCCUGCCGCGGGCGAGGAGGAGAGAAGCCAGGCCGCCACCAACAACGCCACACCCUGCUGCUCUUGCUCUCCAUGAUCCACGAUGCACGGAUGUGGGAUGCACGCGCGCGCGCGCGCUCGGUGCUUAUAUGCAAGGAGCUGCCGGGGUGACGUGCUCGCGAGGGCAGCCAGGCAGAAUCAACUUGCAGUUAAAGGUGUACUAUGAUGAAUGAGGCGUCAAAAGGUUUUGCCUUUCUGAAGUCUCCUUUUUACAUGCAACUAGGUCGGCGUUGUCUAAACUUAUAAGUAGCUUCAGAACUCACCUAUGCAAUGCACUAUUCAGAUCAGGUGGUCAUAAAAAUGCUUCCUUCAAGUUCUGGGGAAGCAUGUCAGAUUUAUGUAAACCAACUUGUGUACUAAGUUGGAACAAAGUGUCAAAAGUUAUCACUUUUCUGAA